rnacentral:rRNA from 1 species
CAGUAGCCGCGGUAAUACGAAGGGUGCAAGCGUUAAUCGGAAUUACUGGGCGUAAAGCGUGCGUAGGCGGUUUCUUAAGUCUGCUGUGAAAUCCCCGGGCUCAACCUGGGAAUGGCAGUGGAUACUGGGAAGCUAGAGUGUGUCAGAGGAUGGUGGAAUUCCCGGUGUAGCGGUGAAAUGCGUAGAGAUCGGGAGGAACAUCAGUGGCGAAGGCGGCCAUCUGGGACAACACUGACGCUGAGGCACGAAAGCGUGGGGAGCGAACAGGAUUAGAGACCCCCGUAGUCCCUGUCUCUUAUAC